rnacentral:rRNA from 1 species
AGGACGAACGCUGGCGGCGUGCUUAACACAUGCAAGUCGAGCGGAAAGGCCCUUCGGGGUACUCGAGCGGCGAACGGGUGAGUAACACGUGAGCAACCUGCCCUUAGCUCUGGGAUAGCUCCGGGAAACCGGAAUUAAUACCGGAUAUGACCUAGGCCGACAUCGGCCGUGGUGGAAAGUUUUUUCGGCUAGGGAUGGACUCGCGGCCUAUCAGCUAGUUGGUGGGGUAAAGGCCUACCAAGGCGACGACGGGUAG